rnacentral:tRNA from 1 species
GGAGAGGUGCCUGAGUGGUUGAAAGGGGCACCCUGCUAAGGUGUUAGAGCUUAACGGCUCUCGAGGGUUCGAAUCCCUCCCUCUCCGCCA